UCUGAACCUUCGCUUUCUUCCUUGAAUUUCAUCUCUAUUCCAAUUUGGGAAUUUCUUGAAUUUUUACUGCUUGGUAAUUAAUUUUGCCUUUUUACUGCAAUGAAAAAUGGUGAGCUUGGUUUGAUGCAUCCUUGUUCAUGGUUUAACAUCUUAUUACAGAGGGUUUUGGUGGUUUGGCUUGAUGCAAGUUGGUACAGUCAUGGUGUUGCAAGGCAAGCAAGGCAUGUGUUUCAAAUAUAAAAUGGAUUAUGGUAUACAUUUGGUUCAAUUUUGGCCUGUGCAUGAUGGCAUGGUAGGGAGAAUGUUGAUGUUACUAACUUGUGAACAUGUUCAGUUAAGUCUCAAUGUUGCUGAAUUUCCAGGAUUUUAUAGCAGUGUUUACAUGCUGAUUGCACUGUAGCCUUGUUGUAGCAGGUAGGUUCAUUGACUUCUAUUGCAUUGGAAUAGCAGGAUGUAUCACAGGUCUGGUAUCUUAGUUUGCCUUACUGCUAGAUGUUGUGGAAUGCCCUUAGGAAUAGUUAUUGCAUGACCUGAUGCAGGCAUUUGCUUUGGCCUUGCUACGACAGCUAUUGUAAGAUUGUCUUGGUUCAUAGUUUGGUAGGUGAGUCCUUUGUCUCAUGUUCUGGUUCAAUGCCUUAUAAGUUUUAAUCCCACUAUUUGCACUCAAUUCCUUGCCCUCACUUGUUUCUCUUGCUGCAGCAUGAACUUGGCCUAUCAUGUUCAAGCUAAGGUCUAGCCCUGGUAGCCUAUGAUGCAAGCUUGGAAACUGUUUGGCUUUGAGGUGUGCACAUUGUGAUGAAGGUGUAAUGUUGCUGCUCACUUGGUCUUGCAAUGUCAUGUUGGAUCAUUUUUCA